rnacentral:misc_RNA from 1 species
CGGUAGUCCAGUCCAAGAUGGCGGCGCCCUAUGCAACACGUUACAUUUCCACGGCGUGCAAUCGGACGCCCGGCUCGCUGUCUUGGGGCGGAAACAAUUUAAUUUGUUUUGGCGCUUGCAAUAGCGUUGCCAUCUAUGACCCAGAGGCCGCUAAAAUCACAGAAACGCUUAGCCAUCACAAGGGCCGAGUGAACAGUGUCAAAUGGGUCCAGCCAGGAAAUUACAAAUCAAAAGACCUAUCCAGGAUAGAAAUUGUCUCUGCAUCCUCAGACAAAUCUGGCGUUGUUUGGUCGAAAGAUGACACUGGGAAUUUCAUGCCGUCAGCUUUGCUGAUAGGUCAUUCGGAUGUUGUUACGCAAAUAGAUUCUAUUUACUUGGAUGACAAGAUCAAUUGCCCUGCACUUCUUGUGGUGACAGCAUCUGCUGACUCCACUGUUAAACUAUGGCUACGAAAUACUGGAAGUAAUGAAUUGACUUGCAUUCAUACAUUGCGUUCUGGAAGUGGCCUUUUUACAAGUGUGAAACUUUGUAUUCUCCCAAGAAAUAAUGUUCCACUUCUUGCUGUAGCCUCUGAUGAUGCUAAAAUUCAUUUAUACACAGUGAACGUAGAAAUUCCCUCCGUUCAUCUUGUUCAUAAUCUCACUGGUCAUGAAGAUUGGUUGCGCAGUCUUGACUUCGCCAUUCAUGAUGCCGGGGAUGUAUUGCUGGCCAGUGCAGGUCAAGAUAUGCUGAUCCGAAUUUGGCGCCUUUCGCCAAGGGAUUCAGGAAACUGUGGCCAUCACUCCUCAUUUGACCCAAAGAAGGAAAUCAAAUUAGAAGAAGAAAUAUUUUCAAUUGAGACCAGAGGGGUCACCUAUCAUUGGGCAGCAAUUUUAGACUCAGUCCUUGCAGGUCAUGAGGGAUGGGUUUAUUCUGUCUGCUGGCAUCCAAGAGUUUGUGAUAGCUCUGGAAAAGAAAAUCAACCAUUUUGUCUAUUAUCAGCAUCUCUAGAUAAAACAAUGGUUGUAUGGGCUCUUGGAUCGGAUGAAGCUGAUUCUGUGUGGCUGGAGAAAGCUCGUGUGGGUGAAGUUGGUGGCAACACCCUAGGCUUUUAUGGUUGUCAGUUUGCUCCUGACGGAAAAUCAAUUUUAGCUCAUGGGUACCAAGGCUCGUUCCACUUAUGGCAUCACAGUGAGGAUAGUGAUAUUUGGCUCCCAGGAUUGACUGUUGGUGGCCACUUUGAUGAGGUGACCGACUUGGAUUGGGAACCCGAUGGUGUGUUUUUGAUAAGUGUUUCCGCUGAUCAGACCAGCAGACUUCAUGCUCCUUGGGUCCAAAGUGGAGGCAAAGUUUCUUGGCAUGAACUUGCAAGACCGCAGGUUCAUGGUUAUGAUAUUCAGUGCUUGGCAAUACUUUCUCGCUACCAAUAUGCCUCUGGUGCAGAGGAGAAGGUGGUUCGACUUUUUAAAGCACCUGGGAACUUCAUUGAAAAUUUCCAGAGAAUAUGCUGCAUUAAGGAAGAUAAUGUCGAUCAGCUCUUGGCUGCUGCUCCAGCUGGGGCCUCUGUCCCUUCAUUGGGGCUUUCCAACAAAGCUGUCUUUGAUGGUGACACUGUUCUUUCAAGUGGGGAUAGCAAUCAAGCUGAAUUUCCAGAAGGUUACUUCACUCCAGUUAGUUUAGCAGAGCCCCCCAAAGAGGAAGAUUUGCUUCAAAAUACACUGUGGCCAGAAAUACAGAAAUUGUAUGGACAUGGCUAUGAGUUAUUUAGUUUAGCAGCCUCUCAUGAUGGGAAACUUCUAGUUUCUGCUUGCAAAGCAUCGUCAUCUCAACAUGCCGCCAUUAUAUUAUGGGAUGCACUUAAUUGGCAACAACUGCAAAAGCUGCAUUCUCAUGAAUUAACUGUCACUCAGUUGUCCUUUUCUCCAAAUGAUAAGUUUAUCUUAAGUGUGUCAAGAGAUCGCUGUUGGAGUAUUUUUGAGCGACAGGCAGAUGGCACAACUGCAUCAUACCAGUUAUUGGCCUCAACCAACAAAAGUACCUGUAUUCACACGCGCAUCAUUUGGAGUAGUGCGUGGACCCCAGACUCCAAAUAUUUCUCAACUGGUUCAAGGGAGGGAAAGAUUGUGGUUUGGGGAGGAAAUGAUGUGCUUGAAGAUAAAUCAAAUCUAGGAUAUUGGUCCUCUGCAGGAACACCUCUAAUUUUGAAAGAUUCUGUGACAAGUCUAGCAUUUGCUCCUCAACUGAACCCUGGGAAAGGGUAUCUACUGGCAGCUGGGCUUGAGGCGGGUAAUAUUCUCCUUUAUACAUGGAAGCGGGAUCAAAGUGAUCCCUGGACGCCUAUUUUGUCACUCAAUCAAAACCAAGCUCAUCACUUAACUGUAAAGCAGUUAUCUUUUCGGCCGCACAUAGGUGAAGUUGGUGAACAAGAAAAGUCAUCAACCUUACUUCUGGCAAGUGCUGGAGCUGAUCACACUGUGAAGAUCCAUGCUCUUUCCUUCAACUACAUUUGACAUACAACUUCCUCUUGUCUAUCUCAUCUUUUUGUUUACUUACUUACAUCUGUGAUGAAAUGCUUCAUUGCUCUCUUUUACUCUUCAUUCAUUGAGAGGAAAUUGAGUGAAACAUCUGUUAUUCCAGAUCUUUGAGACCAAAUCUAGUCUGUAUCACCAGAGUGGCUGACUGGAAAUAGGAGAAAGAAGAGAAGGUGAUAAUGCGGAUAAUAUAUAAAUUACACCUGAUUGAUUAGAGAAGAUUUUGUUUUAUUUUUACAACAAAUUUAAUUUAAACAUGAUGUUUAUUAAUGGGCACAAGAGAAUGAGUAGUUUGUCCGCUAACAUAAUCAAAGGCAGUUGUAACAAAACGAAAAAAGAAAUCUGGGCCUAUGAAUUAUAAUGGUCCCAAUUUUGCAAAGGAAAAAAAAGAGAGAAAAGAGAAAAACACAGUCUAGAUAAUGUCAGAGAAAGUUUGUUAAAAUAUCUGCAAGCAAUCCCUCCCUUCAAUUUCUUUUGUAACUCCAGAUCUGUCAUGCAGCAAAUGCUGAUGACCUGCUGUCUAUCAUCACUCUCAGAACUAUCCAACUAAAAUGUGUUGUAAUAGCACAGCUAGCAGAGCAGCUGGCUUCAGUGGACUACAUAUACAUCGCUUUCCAGAUCGCCUUGGGUGGGUGGUUGGCAAUCUGAGUUGUGUCAGCAGGUUAACUUCAAUAGCCCAACUGAUCUUGUACAGUCAGAAAAACACUAUAAUAAUCAUGUGGUUCUCUCAAAAUCUCAUCAAGUUGUGUUUGGCUCCAGAGACUUUUAUCAAACCAAGUUGAAGGGAGGAAGCUUACUUAUUUUUUCAUUUAAAAAAAAAGGAAUUAAAUAAAAGCUAGCGUAGCUACUACAGUUGUUUUAGUCAUCUUCUGCUUGAGGACUUUAAAGUUAGCAAAACUAGGGUCACCUACUCUGAUUCAUAUUUUCUUUAACAGUUUGUUUGGCAUUGACAUUUUGUAGACAGAUAAACAAAAAACCCACAAGACUUAUAUUUUUUAAUCUGUCCAAAACUUAUCUGCAUUGACACUCAGAAUUUGUUU